rnacentral:rRNA from 1 species
GUUUACAGCCAUGCCACCCUGAACGCAUCUGGUCGUUUGAUCUUUGAACACAUUAUUUGAUCUCGGAAGCUAAACAGGGUURGGCCUGGUUAGUACUUGAAAUGCAGACCACUUGGGAAUGCCAGGUGUUGUAAGCU